rnacentral:tRNA from 1 species
GGACUGGUAGCUCAAUUGGUAGAGCGAGCGGUUUGGGACGUCUCUGCGUCUAUUUAUCCGACUGAAAAGUCAGAGUACCCUGCAGGGAAUUGCCUUUCAAUAGAAAAGAGUAUAGAUAUGGCCUAGGAACCAUCUAAAGCACCGCGGUGGGUGGACAAGGAGGCUUCCAAACCGUCGAGGUCGUGAGUUCGAAUCUCACCCAGUCCC